CCUCGAAAUUUCUUCCUGAGAACAACAUGAGAGACGCCGUGCUCUUGCUUGACGGUAGCCACGGAGUUGACGAACUUCUUGAAGAGUUCGCGAUUCCGAACUUGAUCCGCAUGGUCCCGGAGGAAGCCUCGAAAGUGUUGAAUCGUUUGUUCCCUGUUGGUUCCGAAGGUCGGGAGUUGGUUGAGAAAUGAAGCCUCGCCCACUUCAGCCACCACUUGGGUUGCUGGAGCAGCAGCUUCGGCAGAGAGUCCCAAACUUCCCUCUGCCCGGCGACUUUGUCCAGCUCUCCAAGGCUUUCCCAGCCCAGCCAGGAGACAAUAUCUCCAAUGUGUCCAGGGUCGUGGCCCAGAACACUUCACUAGGCAUCCAGGAGGCGUCCUAAUUAGAUGCCCUAGCGACCUCAUCUAGCUUCUCUCAACAUGGAGGAGCAGCGGCUCAACUUCGAGUACCUCCCGGAUGACCGAGCUUCUUGUCCUAUCUCUAAGGGUGUUUUCAGACCUGAAUUUUGGUCCACUUUAAAAGGACCAGGGUUCGAUUCUCACGCUGGUCCGCCACCAACAAAAAUCUGUGUUACAUUAGCUUCUAUAUUAAAAUUGGUUAUAUUACAACAAAAGACAUUGUGAAAUUGCUAUA